AACCUCUCCGAUAACGGUGGGUGACCUAUUUUUCCUUUUAUUUUAGCGCCGGCGAAGUAAAUAUUUUAGUGACCGACGGACGGCGACGCGAGUGACGGACGACGACGGAUCCCUGUGCGUGCUGCGUGCUGCGUGCGUGUGGGUGUGCCCGCAAGAUGGGAUCUUUCCUUUCCUGAUUCCAACACGUUGCUGUUCCAUCCAAUGAUGAUGCGCUAGUCGCUAAUCCGCACGAAUUAUCCGCAAGAAUCAGGGCUGGGGUUCUCGGCGUUGGCGCCGGGCGGAGCCACAGAAAUGGGGGCCGAGAACAGCGGCUAAUUUUAGCCAGCAGCGCGGAGGGAAAAGCCUGAGGCAGCCGCUCGCCCGCCUGCCUCCAAGAAACCGCGGCGAUCUGUCGCCUAUCCAAUCGCGUCGCCGCCGAACUCGAAUUCGAUUUGGUUUCCUGGGCGGUGGGAGAGGAUGCANNNNNNNN
rnacentral:lncRNA from 1 species